rnacentral:rRNA from 1 species
CAAUAGCGUAUAUUAAAGUUGUUGCAGUUAAAAAGCUCGUAGUUGGAUUUCUGUGAGAGUGCCGGUGUCGGCUGAUGCUUGUACGCAGGCGCUCUUACAUCCUUCUGUUGACUGUUCUUGGCAUUUUAUUGCUGGUUCAGGGCUCAGAUAUUUUACCUUGAGAAAAUUAAAGUGUUUCAGGCAGGCUUAUGCCGGAAUACAUUAGCAUGGAAUAAUGGAACAGGACCUGUGCGUCUCUCGGGGCGCCGGUCUCCGUUGUUGGUUUCGGGGACUAAUGUAAUGAUUAAUAGGGAUAGUUGGGGGCAUUAGUAUUUAAUAGUCAGAGGUGAAAUUCUCGGAUUUGUUAAAGACUAACUUAUGCGAAAGCAUUUGCCAAGGAUGUUUUCAUUAA